CUCUUGAGCUUGUGAGCAAAUGUUACCUUCGGAUCAGUCGUCAACGGUUUUCCAUUAGUCGUACUGAAAGUUUGAACACAUUAAUGGCGUCGUUUGGUUGACGCCUUGAUAGCGUCUUUCCAAAAAUGGUGAAUAAAUUGUGCUUCAAAAAAUUGCUCAGUUUGCCGGGCACACUGUCUACCACAUGUUCUAUCAGAGAGUAUUUGAGCAUCAAAGGUUGCUUGGUUUGAAAUUGGUUCCCAAGUUAAAACUUGCUCACAUUUGGCCAUCAACCUGGCAGAGAAUGACGGAUCGGAAGCUACAGAAAAGCUUACAAAGCUUAUUAAUGACACAUUUGACAUUAUGAAUGGACGACACAAGGAUACGACUCUAGAUGGCUGGCGCUUGUCUAUCCGUAGCACCAUUGACUUGACAGAAGAGUUAUUGAAUCCAAAAAACCCUUUAGAGAAAUACGAUUUCGUACUGACAGCAAAAUGGAACCAAGACGCCUUAGAGAUGACUUUUGGGCGCAUACGUUCAGUCGAUACACAUCCAACGGCUGCAAGUUUUCUACAUAUUAUCAGGAUGAUGUCAUUGUACACACCCGCGAAGAUACUAUUGCGGAACGCAAAUGUAGAAAAUGAUGACCAUAUUAGGGUGCUCGUCGAUUUUAAGGAGUGUCAUUAAAAAAUUCCCCGACAAUGCUAAGGCUGCUACUGAUUUAAGGGUAGCAAUGAAAGAUGAUUUAAUGGAAGAGCUGGGAAAGCGUUACGUGAACGAGUUGCCCUUGUCCAAAGAAGAUAGAAUCGGUAACUUUCUCAUAUACGAUGUAGCAGGUUACAUGGUGAAAACGAGAGAAAACCUUUUCGAGUGUGAGGCAUGCAGACAGACCGUAAUUACCAAAGAAGCAGAUCUACCAAGUGAUUUUGACGCAGAUGCAUACACGAGAGCUCGAACCAAAGGUGGACUGGUGUUUGUCACCCUGUCAAUGUACCAAACUUUGUGCGCAAUUGAAAAAGUUGUCUCAAACCACUUUAAGUCACUUAAUCAUAUUUAUAUCACUGAUACAUUCCAAGAGUGUAUAGCAAAAGUUAAAUUAACCAAUGUACUGCCCCUUUUUUGUGAUACUCAUCGCCAUUGUAAUAUGGGAACUUUAAUAAUGGAGUAUGUAAAAGUGAGAUAUUAUUUUGAAUCUAAACGUUUGAAAGAUGUUUUAUUGUCCAAAGAACAAACAACAGUCCAGGCGAGUUUCAAACUGGCCAAAAAUGCCCAUACAAGAAAUUUAAUACAAAGUAAUACUUAAA
rnacentral:misc_RNA from 1 species